rnacentral:tRNA from 1 species
GAGUGGGUCGCUCAAACGGUAGAGCACCAUUUAUUGCCCGCAAGGGCCGCAGGAAAUAAGGUUAUCGCUUUUAACGACUUGUCCUUUAUCCGUCGGGAUGCGGGUUCGACUCCCGCUCCACUCC